GUGCCGCAGCUUCCAUUUAGGCGGCCUAGGAAUUGCCUAGGGCCUCACGAUUAUUGGACUGCAUUUUGCUGGAGGGGGCGGCAGCUCCAUUAGAGCCGUGGUGGCAGCCGACCGUCCGCAGGCAUGACUGUGGCAGGGGCGGUCCUUGUGGCGGGAUCCCUGGACCCGGAUCUCUGUGCAGGAGCAGGACAAGGGCAGACACCUGUCAAUUCCUUCCUUCCUUCUGCAGGUGGCAGCUCCGAGUCACACGCUGGAUCUUUUAAUAGCUCUGUACGCGGCUUGUAGGCCAGGUAUGGGAAUCAGUAUCAUUAAUGCUUUGUCACUCCAUCAUUUACUCAUAAUUUCAUGCACCUUCUGCAGUACUCCCCCACCCGCCUGUCAGUUAGCUACUGUUUCCAUGCCCCCUGCGUCUCACAAAAUCUUCAGAAAUCCAACUGUUCCACAAAAUCUUACAAGCAUGAAAAAAGCAGCCACAAUAAACUUAUCGGAACCACGGCUGAAACAUCAUGAGAUUUACAGACUAGUUUUUUAAAGUCCCAAGCAACAUUUAAAAUUAAUAACUUUGUGUACACUAGCUUAGGUAGAAAUUUCCUUUUAACUAUCUUCAUUUUCACACUUUGCAGAAAAAAUCUAUAGGAUUUAAUAAAAAUGAAUAUCCUUGGUAUGGAAUUUUAUAAAAUGGUUUAAAAGAAUUAUAGAAAAUAAAUACUUCUCUCUUACAUUCUGUAUAUAUCUAGAGUAAUUUCUAUAUAUCUAACCCUACUGGCUUCAUCCCUGCUUAAUACUAUGAAAAAUUCCUAUAGUAUUCAAUAAUUAUUUCAAUGUAUGUCCUAACAGCAGCAUUAGCACAUUGUGGAUUAGAAUUGCCAGAUAAAUGCAUAGGUCAAAUAGAGCUUCAGGAGCUUUUCCCUACUAGAAAUAGAACGUGAAUAAUGCAAAAAAAAAAAAAAGGUCUUUAGUAGCAAGCGCAUUCCUUUUUAGUGAUGAUGACAAAUCUACUCUUGAAGAAACUGAACUGGAAAAAAUAUCAUCAUAUAUACUUAUGAGUUUGGUAUUUUGAAUGAAUAAAUGUAUAAACAAGUGGAUCGUAUAAUUGAUUUUUAGAUGUUUUUUAUUUAAAUUAUUUCUUUUAAAAAUAAACUUGUUUAAAAAUAUUUUGAAUUAAAAAUCAGAUUAACACCUUAACUUAUUGUAAUCUGUAAAAACAUUUAAAUAAAUAAAUGCUGAAUCCAUGAGCCUUUAUCAAGAAUCAGAGGAAAACAUCUAACUUUUGAGGUCAGUCUUUAUAAAUAUUGUAUAAUAGGUCAUGUAUUAAGAGCUUGUUUUGUUUAAUAAAAAUAUUAUGCUUUUUGUGUGUUUAAAUUCUAAUUACAAUCUUAAUGCAUCUUGACCACAUCAUGAGCAAGAAGUUACUUAUUUAGUAAAUAAGCAUAUCAUUAACCAUUUUCUAACAUUAAAAAUGUUCAAUAAGAAUCUGAAUAUUAAGCUUUAAAUAAUUGCUUAAAUAAAUUUGUAUAUAGUUAUAAUGUAUCACUGUUGGCAUCAAAAAGAUGUACCAAAUCUAGUGUAAAGGCUUUAUUUAGUUAUAAGUCAAUGUAUUUUUAAUGGCUAUAUCAAACAUGUAAAAUGCACCUUUCUUUAGAAAACAACUGUAGUACAAAUGAAAAAAGUUGAUUAAACUAAAUCAAUGGUUUAAACUGAA